rnacentral:lncRNA from 1 species
GCUGGCAGUUGGGUACGGGACCCAAGACGGGAAAGACUAUUGGAUAGUGAAGAACUCAUGGGGAGCAGAGUGGGGUGAAUCAGGUUACUUGAAAAUGGAAAGAAACAUUGCGGAUAAAACAGGGCUUUGUGGUAUAGCAAUGGAGCCAUCUUACCCCAUCAAAACUGGCCAAAACCCACCGAACCCUGGCCCAUCUCCACCAUCACCGGUCACACCUGAAACAGUUUGUGAUGAGUACAGCACCUGCCCGGAAGGAACUACCUGUUGCUGUAUCUAUGAGUAUUAUGGUUAUUGCUUUGCUUGGGGCUGCUGCCCGUUGGAGGGAGCUACUUGCUGUGAGGAUCAUUACAGUUGCUGCCCACAUGAUUACCCCAUUUGCGAUGUGUGCAGGGGUACUUGCUCAAAGGUUAGUUUGUUACCUUAAGCUAAGCUCUUGUUUAUUAUGUAGGAUAGGACAGACUCUGUCCUAUCCUAUAUAAUAGAUUAACAAACUUUUUGUACCAUUCAAAAAGUUUGUUACCUUAAGCUCAUGUUUGUUACAUAGGAUAUGACAUACUAGCAUUGUACUGGUUUGCAAUGCUAGACUGUUCUGUCAUACCCUAUGUAACAAAAUAACAAACUUUUUGUACCAUGCAAAAAAUUUGUUACCUUAAGCUCAUGUUUGUUACAUAGGAUAGGACAUCCUAGCAUUGUAUCGGUUUGCAAUGCUAGACUAUUCUGUCAUAUCCUAUGUAACAAAAUAACAAACUUUUUGUACCAUACAAAAAGUUUGUUAUAUUAAGAACACAGUGCCAUGUUUGGGUUUUACAAAUAAGUAAAUUUGAUUGGGACAAGAAUUACAAUAUGUAAAAGACAAUUUGUAAUUUUUCUCAUUCAAAAAGGUUGAAGGAGUUUGUGAAAAAAGACGUGAAUACCCUUUCAUUUGGAUGUUUGUGUUGUUUUGUAU